rnacentral:misc_RNA from 1 species
CAUCACUGUGACAGACCUGAC